GAUGAACGCUGGCGGCGUGCCUAAUACAUGCAAGUCGAGCGAACAGAUGAGAAGCUUGCUUCUCUGAUGUUAGCGGCGGACGGGUGAGUAACACGUGGGUAACCUACCUAUAAGACUGGGAUAACUCCGGGAAACCGGGGCUAAUACCGGAUAAUAUGUUGAACCGCAUGGUUCAAUAGUGAAUGACGGUUUCGGCUGUAACUUAUAGAUGGACCCGCGCCGUAUUAGCUAGUUGGUAAGGUAACGGCUUACCAAGGCGACGAUACGUAGCCGACCUGAGAGGGUGAUCGGCCACACUGGAACUGAGACACGGUCCAGACUCCUACGGGAGGCAGCAGUAGGUAAUCUUCCGCAAUGGGCGAAAGCCUGACGGAGCAACGCCGCGUGAGUGAUGAAGGUCUUCGGAUCGUAAAACUCUGUUGUUAGGGAAGAACAAAUUUGUUAGUAACUGAACAAGUCUUGACGGUACCUAACCAGAAAGCCACGGCUAACUACGUGCCAGCCGCCGCCGUAA
rnacentral:rRNA from 1 species